rnacentral:rRNA from 1 species
UCCGUAGGCGGAUAAUUAAGUCAGAGGUGAAAUCCCACAGCUCAACUGUGGAACUGCCUUAGAUACUGGUUAUCUUGAGUUUUAGUGAAGUAGAUAGAAUGUGUAGUGUAGCGGUGAAAUGCAUAGAUAUUACACAGAAUACCGAUUGCGAAGGCAGUCUACUAACUAACAACUGACGCUAAUGGACGAAAGCGUGGGGAGCGAACAGGAUUAGAUACCCUGGUAGUCC